AGCGAACGCUGGCGGCAGGCCUAACACAUGCAAGUCGAACGAAGUCUUCGGACUUAGUGGCGGACGGGUGAGUAACACGUGGGAACGUGCCUUUAGGUUCGGAAUAACUCAGGGAAACUUGUGCUAAUACCGAAUGUGCCCCUAGGGGGGAAGUUUUAUCGCCUUUAGAGCGGCCCGCGUCUGAUUAGCUAGUUGGUGAGGUAAAGGCUCACCAAGGCUACGAUCAGUAGCUGGUCUGAGAGGAUGACAGCCACAUUGGGACUGAGACACGGCCCAAACUCCUACGGGAGGCAGCAGUGGGGAAUCUUGCGCAAUGGGCGAAAGCCUGACGCAGCCAUGCCGCGUGGAUGAUGAAGGUCUUAGGAUUGUAAAAUCCUUUCACCGGUGAAGAUAAUGACUGUAGCCGGAGAAGAAGCCCCGGCUAACUUCGUGCCAGCCGCCGCCGUAAAAC
rnacentral:rRNA from 1 species